UACAGAGGUGGCAAGCGUUGUUCGGAAUUACUGGGCGUAAAGGGCGCGUAGGCGGCCUUGUCAGUCAGACGUGAAAUCCCCAGGCUUAACCUGGGAACUGCGUCUGAUACUACAAGGCUUGAGUGCGGGAGAGGGAUGUGGAAUUCCAGGUGUAGCGGUGAAAUGCGUAGAUAUCUGGAGGAACACCGAUGGCGAAGGCAGCCCCCUGGGUUAACACUGACGCUCAGGCACGAAAGCGUGGGGAGCAAACAGG
rnacentral:rRNA from 1 species